UGUCGGAGAAAUUGCGACGGUCGUCGGU
rnacentral:piRNA from 1 species